AGAGUUUGAUCCUGGCUCAGGAUGAACGCUAGCUACAGGCUUAACACAUGCAAGUCGAGGGGAAACGACAUCGAAAGCUUGCUUUUGAUGGGCGUCGACCGGCGCACGGGUGAGUAACGCGUAUCCAACCUUCCGUACACUCAGGGAUAGCCUUUCGAAAGAAAGAUUAAUACCUGAUGGUAUGAUGAGAUUGCAUGAUAGCAUCAUUAAAGAUUUAUCGGUGUACGAUGGGGAUGCGUUCCAUUAGGGUAGUAGGCGGGGUAAUGGCCACCUAGCCGACGAUGGAUAGGGGUUCUGAGAGGAAGGUCCCCCACAUUGGAACUGAGACACGGUCCAAACGUCCUACGGGAGGCA
rnacentral:rRNA from 1 species